AUGCUCACACUGACAGCAAAUACACUAAAAUUGGACAAAUCCAGAGAAGAUUGGCAUAGACCCUGCGUAAGGAUGCCACAAUUCAUGAAACAUUCCAUAUUUAA
ensembl:snRNA U6 U6 spliceosomal RNA